UACGUAGGUGGCGAGCGUUGUCCGGAAUCAUUGGGCGUAAAGGGCGCGUAGGUGGCCCGGUCAGUUCGUGGUGAAAGCGUGGGGCUCAACCCUGCGUCGGCCAUGAAUACUGCCGCGGCUGGAGCACUGUAGAGGCAGGCGGAAUUCCGGGUGUAGCGGUGGAAUGCGUAGAGAUCCGGAAGAACACCGGUGGCGAAGGCGGCCUGCUGGGCAGUUGCGUGACACU
rnacentral:rRNA from 1 species